rnacentral:misc_RNA from 1 species
GUUUUACGCAGAAUCCUGAUUGGUGGAACUACUGGGUGCUCUUUGCAUUGCUACUUAUAAAUAGUUCCAUGCAGGCCAGUGCUGAGCAUUGAUUUAUCCAUUUUCAGCAGACACUCCUGCUGGGCAUUGAUUUAUCCAUCAGUUGCGACCAGUGUUUCCACCAUACCCUCGUACUCGCAAGAUGAUGCCAUUCUUCCCAGGAAGACCACUCGCCAAUCACCAUCCUUUUGCGCUCCAACUUCUGUUAUCCACCUCGCUGUUGCUUUCUUUUUCUUAUUUUUCUGCUUCUGCAUUUGCUGCUGCUGCUACUUCUAGGAGGAGACAAGGACAAGAAGCGGAGGCACUUCUCAGAUGGAAGAACAGCCUCCAUGAUCCAACUCAUUCUCUGCUCGCAUCCUGGAAGCUUGACAAUUCCACCUUGCCAUCUAAUUCUUCUUCCAGCAGUCCCUGCAACUGGGUUGGAAUAGCUUGUGAUGAGUCAGGAAGUGU